GUGUCCGUUUGUGGGGGACAACCACCCGAAAGGGUGGCUAAUACCGCAUAAGACCUGAGGGUGAAAGCCGGGGACCGCAAGGCCUGGCGCGAACGGAGCGGCCGAUGACUGAUUAGCUGGUUGGCGGGGUAAAGGCCCACCAAGGCGACGAUCAGUAGCUGGUCUGAGAGGACGACCAGCCACACUGGAACUGAGACACGGUCCAGACUCCUACGGGAGGCAGCAGUGGGGAAUUUUGGACAAUGGGGGCAACCCUGAUCCAGCCAUGCCGCGUGCGGGAAGAAGGCCUUCGGGUUGUAAACCGCUUUUGUCAGGGACGAAAAGGUGCGGGUUAAGAGCUAGCACUGAUGACGGUACCUGAAGAAUAAGCACCGGCUAACUACGUGCCAGCAGCCGCGGUAAUACGUAGGGUGCGAGCGUUAAUCGGAAUUACUGGGCGUAAAGCGUGCGCAGGCGGUUGGGUAAGACAGAUGUGAAAUCCCCGGGCUUAACCUGGGAACUGCAUUUGUGACUGUCCGACUGGAGUAUGUCAGAGGGGGGUGGAAUUCC
rnacentral:rRNA from 1 species